rnacentral:rRNA from 1 species
CAGUCGCCGCGGGAAUGCGUAGGUGGCAAGCGUUGUCCGGAAUUAUUGGGCGUAAAGCGCGCGCAGGUGGUUUAAUAAGUCAGAUGUGAAAGCCCACGGCUCAACCGUGGAGGGUCAUUGGAAACUGUUAAACUUGAGUGCAGGAGAGAAAAGUGGAAUUCCUAGUGUAGCGGUGAAAUGCGUAGAGAUUAGGAGGAACACCAGUGGCGAAGGCGGCUUUUUGGCCUGUAACUGACACUGAGGCGCGAAAGCGUGGGGAGCAAACAGGAUUAGAGACCCCGGUAGUCCCUGUCUCUUAUAC